rnacentral:misc_RNA from 1 species
UUUCCGUAGGUGAACCUGCGGAAGGAUCAUUGUCGAAACCUGCCCAGCAGAACGACCCGCGAACUUGUAUAAACAACCGGGGGCGGGGGGCGUUCUCGCCCCGUGCCCCCGAACGGCGGGGAGACACUCGUGCCUUCUGGCCGAACAACGAACCCCGGCGCAGUCUGCGCCAAGGAACUUCAACUAAAGAGUGCCUCCGGUCGCCUCGGAAACGGCGUGCGUGCCGGGGGCGAAUCUUGUGCAAAACCAUAACGACUCUCGGCAACGGAUAUCUCGGCUCUC